rnacentral:tRNA from 1 species
UGGAGCGUAGCUCAGUGGCAGAGCGCUGCCUUCACACGGCAGAUGUCGUAGGUUCAACCCCUAUCGCUCCAACCA